ACUAGGGAAGGAUUUCUUUCUGAAGAUCCCUCUUUUUUGAGUUUUCUACUAGCCUAGGAUGUGGGAAAUCCUAUUUCACUGGCUGAACUGAGCAACGGAAAAGCACCAAAUUCAUAGUGCUACUGCCUGCCACCCAGGAGAUUAAGAAAGAAAAAAUCGCACCCACUGACAUUCAUUGAUGCUUGCUGAACGUUUAUGGAGACCAAAUAGUGGCUGUGAGGACAGUGAAGUGGUGGGUGGUAUAUUUCAGCAGUGGCAGCAGUGAGGUGAAAGACAAGCCACGUUCCAGAUGGUCAUGCAUAGCUGUCAAAACUGUGAAAUGAAGAGCAUCUCAAUCAGCUCAUCCACAUGAAUGAGAUGAUUGUGACCAGGGGACUGUGUACAGAGCUGAAUAUCUGAUUCAACACAUUGGAAACAAUGGUGACAGCAUUAGAAUACUGCAAAGUUUGCACAGGGUGAGUCCCUGGAACAGAAAGAAUGCCACAUGCAAGUUUGUCAAGACUUAUUGAACCAAUAGAAGGAUGAAGGUAACAGUUUCCUUCACCCGCUUUCCUUUAUCACAUUGUUACCAGUGAUAAGAGGUGGUGUCACCAUUACAAGUUGGAGUCAGAAUAGCAGCCCAUGGAGUGGCAACAUGUGAAUUCCCCAACAAAGAAAAUGACACAACCCUCAGCAGGUGAAGUGAUGUGCACUGUCUUUAGGGAUAGGAAAUGGGUGAUCCUUCUGAAUUUUCUGGAACCCAAACAAACUCUUAUCUCUGAACACUACAUCGCAACGCUGACUAAGCUGAAGGCUCAAGCUGCCAGAGUCAGCCAGAGAAGACAACCUUUCUCUUGCAACCCAAUAAUGCCAAGCCCCAUACUAGUUUGAAGAUAGUGGAGUACAUUGUCUAUCUUGGAUAGAGUGUCUUAUCAUGCCUACUGUAUAGUCCAGGUUUGGCACCAUCUGUCUUCUAUUUAUUCUGGAUGAUGAAAGCUUGACUGCAUGGGCAAUGUUUUCCUAGCAAUUAUGCUGUCAUAGCAGCUGUGAAGUAGUGGAUUACCUCUUCUAGAGCAGAUUUUUGUGAGUGUAGCAUGCAUGCUCUUAUCACCAGUGAAAAUGCAUAGAUAAUGGUGAUGACUGUGCUGAAAAAUAAUGUUUUGUAGCUGAAAACUUGCUCUCUCAAAUAGUGUUAUCGUGAUCUUUGAAACUCUUGUAGUUUUUGUGGAAAAAGAAUAGACAGCAUUACUUUUGGAGCAACCUACAUAGAAUGAGC